rnacentral:rRNA from 1 species
GACGAACGCUGGCGGCGUGCUUAACACAUGCAAGUGGAGCGACGAACCGGGCUUCGGCCCGGGGCAAAGCCGCGAACGGGUGAGUAACACGUGGGUAACCUGCCCCAAAGACCGGGACAACCCGAGGAAACUCGGGCUAAUACCGGAUGUGUUCACUGUCCACAAGGACAGUGAGGAAAGGAAGCUUCGGCCUCCGCUUUGGGAUGGGCCCGCGGCCCAUUAGCUUGUUGGUGAGGUAACGGCUCACCAAGGCUGCGAUGGGUAGCUGGUCUGAGAGGAUGAUCAGCCACACUGGGACUGAGACACGGCCCAGACUCCUACGGGAGGCAGCAGUGGGGAAUCUUGCGCAAUGCGCGACAGCGUGACGCAGCAACGCCGCGUGGGGGAAGAAGGCCUUCGGGUUGUAAACCUCUUUCAGGAGGGGCGAAGCUCCGGCAGCGAAUAGCUGUCCGGAGUGACGGUACCUCCACAAGAAGCCCCGGCUAACUUCGUGCCAGCAGCCGCGGUAA